CUUGGUCAUUAGAGGAAGUAAAAGUCGUAACAAGGUUUCCGUAGGUGAACCUGCGGAAGGAUCAUUAUCGUACACCGGAGGCACAAGGGCUGUCGCUGACCUUUGAAGGGUUGUGCACGCCCGAGUGUUCUCUCACAUCCAUUUCACCCCUUUGUGCAUCACCGCGCGGGUCCCUCUAAAAAGGGGGGCUCACGUUUUUCACAUAAACCUCAAUAUAGUGUAGAAUGUCUUUUCUUAUUGCGGUAACACGCAAUCAAUACAACUUUCAACAACGGAUCUCUUGGCUCUCGCAUCGAUGAAGAACGCAGCGAAAUGCGAUACGUAAUGUGAAUUGCAGAAUUCAGUGAAUCAUCGAAUCUUUGAACGCACCUUGCGCCCCUUGGCAUUCCGAGGGGCACACCCGUUUGAGUGUCGUGAAAUCCUCAAAACACUUUCUUUGAUGAGAAAGGGUUUUGGACUUGGAGGAUCAAUGCUUGCUUUCAAAGUGAGCUCCUCUUAAAUGAAUCAGUGGGGUUUGCUUGUCGAUCCUUGACGUGAUAAGAUGCUUUACUACGUUUUGAAUCUGGCGACGUCCCUGCUUCUAACUGUCUCAUGGACAAAUGAUGGUGCUCCGGUUGCUACCAGUUUAGUGGUCGCUGGACCCACGAAUUUAAAAUCUUGACCUCAAAUCGGGUGAGACUACCCGCUGAACUUAAGCAUAUCA
rnacentral:rRNA from 1 species